CCGUUUGAGAGAAGGGAUGACACAGUAGGAUAAGCUAAGCACACUGUUGGUUAUGUGUGCCCAAGCAUUGAGGCAGUCAAAGUAGGCAAAUCCGCUUUGAUAAUGCUGGGAUGUGAUGGGGAGCGAAAUUUAGUAGCGAAGUAGCUGAUUUCACACUGUCAAGAAAAGUCUCUAUCGAGGUUAAAGGUACCCGUACCGCAAACCGACACAGGUGGGUGAGGAGAGUAUCCUAAGGCCAGCGAGAGAACUGUUGUUAAGGAACUCGGCAAAAUGACCCCGUAACUUAGGGAUAAGGGGUGCCACCAUCAGGUGGCCGCAGAGAAUAGGCCCAAGCGACUGUUUACCAAAAACAUAGGUUUCUGCUAAGUCGCAAGACGAUGUAUAGGAGCUGACGCCUGCCCGGUGCUGGAAGGUUAAGGGGAUCUGUUAGAGUAAUCGAAGCAGUGAACUUAAGCCCCAGUAAACGGCGGCCGUAACUAUAACGGUCCUAAGGUAGCGAAAUUCCUUGUCGGGUAAGUUCCGACCCGCACGAAAGGCGUAACGAUUUGGGCACUGUCUCAACAACAGACUCGGUGAAAUUGUAAUUCCGGUGAAGAUGCCGGAUACCUGCGACAGGACGGAAAGACCCCAUGGAGCUUUACUGUAGCUUGACAUUGGGUCUUGGUACUACAUGUACAGGAUAGGUGGGAGGCUUUGAAACCAGGACGCCAGUUUUGGCGGAGCCAUCCUUGGGAUACCACCCUUGUAGUACUGGGACUCUAACCAUAGGCCAUGAAUCUGGUCUUGGGACACUGUCAGGUGGGCAGUUUGACUGGGGCGGUCGCCUCCCAAAAGGUAACGGAGGCGCUCAAAGGUUCUCUCAGUACGGUCGGAAAUCGUACGUAGAGUGUAAAG
rnacentral:rRNA from 1 species